UCAAUGGGGCCCUUGAAUGGGCAACCGGAGAACGGGAGCGCCCCACCUGAUCAUCCUACCGAAUUGUGGGGGAUAGCCGGCCCAGCGGCCGGGUAAUACCACCUACGAUCGAGACGAGGCAUUUCGACUCGAUGAAAUCUACGGAGCAAUUCGAGGGGCUCGCGGCCUAUCAGCUAGUUGGGGAGGUAACGGCUCACCAAGGCGACGACGGGUAGCUGGUCUGAGAGGAUGGCCAGCCACAUUGGGACUGAGAUACGGCCCAGACUCCUACGGGAGGCAGCAGUGGGGAAUCUUGCGCAAUGGCCUAACGGAUGACGCAGCGACGCUGCGUGAGGGAUGACGCUCUUCGGAGUGUAAACCUCUUUUGCCCGGGACGAAUUGCCAACUUCAGUUGGCUUGACGGUACCGGGUGAAUAAGCACCGGCUAACUCCGUGCCAGCAGCCGCGGUAAUACGGGGGGUGCGAGCGUUGUCCGGAAUCACUGGGCGUAAAGGGCGCGUAGGUGGUCUUAUAAGGGUGUGGUGAAAGCCCGGGGCUCAACCCCGGGUCGGCCGUGCCGACUGUAAGACUAGAGUGCUGUAGGGGCAGGCGGAAUUCCGGGUGUAGCGGUGGAAUGCGUAGAUAUCCGGAGGAAGACCGGUGGUGAAGGCGGCCUGCUGGGCAGUUAAUGACAGUGAGGCGCGACAGAGUGGGGAGCAAACAAGAUUAGAUACCCUGGUAGUCCACGCCGUAAACGAUGGGUAUUAGGUGCCGGGGGGAUCGACCCCUUGGGUGCC
rnacentral:rRNA from 1 species